rnacentral:lncRNA from 1 species
UAAAUCUCAUCAAAUACUUCAUCUAUUCCUCCUCUUUUAUCAGUCUUGUUUCUAGGUGUAAGACUAUUAUUUUAUUGAAGAUCUUGUAGUUGGAUAUCUAAGUCUGAAUGAAUUAUUGACUUUGUAAAUUCAUCCAAAACGAGACAAUCUUCAUCUUGCAUUAUGGCUCUUUCCCCACAUAUCUUUUUCACCUCUAUUGCUUCCAUUCUUGCUUCUAUUUUUCUUAUCCUAUGUUGUG